CGCGUGGAGGAUGAAGGUCUUCGGAUUGUAAACUCCUGUUGCCCGGGACGAAAAGCUUCGACCUAACACGUCGAAGUCUGACGGUACCGGGUGAGGAAGCCCCGGCUAACUCUGUGCCAGCAGCCGCGGUAAUACAGAGGGGGCAAGCGUUGUUCGGAAUUACUGGGCGUAAAGGGCGCGUANGUGGCCUUCUAANUCUAACGUGAAAUCCCUGGGCUCAACCCAGGAACUGCGUCCGAGACUGGGAGGCUUGAAUCCGGGAGAGGGAUGCGGAAUUCCAGGUGUAGCGGUGAAAUGCGUAGAUAUCUGGAGGAACACCGGUGGCGAAAGCGGCAUCCUGGACCGGUAUUGACACUGAGGCGCGAAAGCCAGGGGAGCANACGGGAUUAUAUACCCCGGUAGUCCUGGCCCUAAACGAUGAAUGCUUGGUGUGGCGGGUA
rnacentral:rRNA from 1 species